rnacentral:lncRNA from 1 species
UACGAAUUUUUUGCAUGAUAACGUAAUUGUUGCCUUUGCUUAAUUUUUUUAUUAAAAUUUUCUUAUAAUGUAGAAAAUGUAGUAAAACCGGAUAUUGUAAAACUCAACAAAAGGAUGAAAUCGAUGAUUGAAGGAGAAAACAUUUAUAAAGAACUUAUUAAACCCCCCAACAAAUUUUUACAUCCAGACAAUAAAGAUGCAAUAAUACCCCAACAUAAGUUAAUAAAAAAAAUCGAUUUUAGAUCGGAAGCAUUGCCACUAUCAGGAUUUGCUAAUGUUGGAAAUAGGAGAAAGUAUAAUAAGAAGGAAAUUAAACAAAUAAAAAUACAAUAUAAUAAAACAUUAGAUACACAUAAUAAUCCAGAUAUUGCAACUCUAAUUAAUGAUAUGCAUAAAAAUUCAAAAGAGGUUUUGAAUAUAAUUAAGGAAAACAUUAAAAGGGAAUAGGAAAAACAAAAAAAAAAUACAUAUUUUUCUUUUUAACUUAUUUUUUAUUUUUAUAUAUUUAUUAUAUAUUUUUAUAUAUUCAUUAUGUGUUUUAUAUAUAUGAAUAUAUGUGUAUAAAUUAGUUUUAUAAAAUGCGUAGUGUGUUAAUAUUUAAGGAUUAAUAUGUUUAUAUUUAUUGAGAGGUAAUAUAAAUUAGAGGGGAUACAUACACAUAAAUAUAUAUAUAUAUAUAUAUGUAUGUAUAGCAUGUACAUAUGUAUAUUAAUAUAUUUGUUAAACUAAAUUAAUUGUUUUGUAUCAUUAUUUUUUAAAAACUCAUAUUUUUUUGGUAUUAAUAAUAAAAAAAAAAAAAGAGCUUUUAUAUGUUAGCA